rnacentral:ribozyme from 1 species
GACGAAAACGGCUCUACCCCUGGCUCCCCGUCUCCCCUUGUUGGUGAGGGCAUG